UCGACAGAGAGGAGCAAGGAGGGGUGAAACCCUAACUUCACAAAAUCCACAAGAAUUACUACAAAUCUUAAGGAAAUCGAAAGAAUAAUCAUCAAAUUCUAAGCUCCUACACCUGUUCUUUGAAGUGGAAACCAAAAUUUACAUGGACUCAAGUAUGGAAGGCUAUCGGAUUAAGAGGAAAUGAGGAAGUUAUGCACAAACUUGGACGCACGAGGUAAGUGAUUUCCAUAAUCACUUCUUAGUUUGUUUAAGUAGUAUAAUGUUUAAUUAUUAAGUUCAUAUGAAGUUGAGGUCAAAUCAAUAGAUUAUUUUGAUGAAUGCAUGAACGGGUCGAAUAAUUCGUAGAUGAAUAAUAAGCCGAUCAUGUACAAGUUAAGAAAUUCCUUAACUCGGAUGUUGGAUUUCAAGUCCACAUGAUAGAAUAUUAAUUUACAAUCAUGUAGGAAGAAACGUGACGCAAAACGGAUGAAAAAUGAGAGAGUUAUGUCCGUUUCGGUAAGAAUUAAUGGUUAGGAAGAGUGCAGAGCUGACACGGCCGGGUGGUGAGAUGACACGGCCGGGUGAAGGUUCUGUGAAAAAAAUAUUAGUUAUGUGAUUUAUGCAUCGUAGGCUUCGGUAUAUUAUCCGUGGACUACGGUGGGCCUCCCAAACAUGAUUUCGAGUGUUCCCUUGACGAUUAUAAGUUGUACACCUAAGUCUAAGCCUCAUGUAAUUUAUAUAAGAGUAUGAUAGAUGUAUGUAAUGAUGACUAGGGAGGUGUGUUAAUUAAGUUAAGAGAAUAGGAUGGUAUGUAAGUAUGAACAAUUCGAGUCAUGGUGAGUUUAAGUCAUAUAAAAUAGUACGCGUGAUGUGUAUAGAAGAUAUAUAUAUAUAUAUAUACGUAUGUACAUAAUUAUGCGAAAGGCGUAUAUUGUGUUGUAGUUAAAUAGAUGCAUAUAAAUAGUUGGCGACCUUUUUACGAAGAUGUAGUACUUGAAUAUGUUGAGAUUACGGGUUUGCUAACCAAGUUAUUAUCAAGUAUGUUUGAAAGUGCAGGUUUAUGAAUGUCGGACUUUCGAAGUGUUGAUAUAGUAAUGAAAUGAUUGAAUGUUGGAAGGAUAAUCGGGUUGAAGUAACUUAAGCGGUUAGAAUAUGCUAUGGACGUUUUAGUUUAUACAAUAUUAUAUGUUUGGUCGUCACCAUCUACUAACAGGUUAGUUGUAUGAGAGUAUAUGUGUAACACCCCAAAACCCGAAUGUUUAUACUUGUCGUAUGUUCCUAUAUAACUUAGUAUGAAAUAACUAACUAGGCUAAUUAACCUAGUUAAGUGUGUGGUUAAAAGUCUUAAAUGACCAAAAUAGUGCAAUUUAUGUUAAGUGACAAAGAUGAGGGGCCAAAUGGAACAAGAUGAAAGUUAAGUUACUAAAUAACAAAACUCUCACACACAAACACACAUAUCGUGUGUUCGAGAAUGAGCAGGAAGCUCCCAUGGAUCCAAGAACCCUAGCUUCAUCCUUUUCAUCAAAUUGGAAGGAUAAAUGAAGCUCAAAUUCAGAACCGAACGCGAAUUUGUGAUCACCUACACUAGGGGAUCAUAAGGAAUCAUGUCGAGACGGAAUCAAGCACGGAAGGCUAACGGGUCAAAAGUGGCGAGGAAACGAGUAUGAACAUGGACGCACGAGAUUUACGCAGGUACAUUAUUGAAGACUCACAAGGGAAUGGAUACGCUAAUGAUAUGCUUAAAGUUGUACGAAUCACGGGUGGUUAUCACGAGGAAUAGAGCUCGAAGAAUGAGUCAAAGCUAGAUUGUACGGGAAUAACUGAAUAUGUAUUAUUAGUAAUUAGGGCUUAUGCUUUAUUUUUUUUUGUAAAAGAUACAUAUUAAAACGUACUUUCAAGUAAGUCAUGACGUUAAUAAUGAAAGAAAUU
rnacentral:lncRNA from 1 species